rnacentral:rRNA from 1 species
UACGUAGGGUGCGAGCGUUAAUCGGAAUUACUGGGCGUAAAGCGUGCGCAGGCGGUUUUGUAAGACAGGCGUGAAAAUCCCCCGAGCUCAACUUGGGAAUUGCGCUUGUGACUGCAAGGCUAGAGUGUGUCAGAGGGGGGGGUAGAAUUCCACGUGUAGCAGUGAAAAUGCGUAGAGAUGUGGAGGAACACCGAUGGCGAAGGCAGCCUCCUGGGCCAGCACUGACGCUCAUGCACGAAAGCGUGGGGAGCAAACAGG